rnacentral:tRNA from 1 species
GCGGGUGUAGCUCAGCUGUUAGAGCGCAUCCUUGCCAAGGAUGAGGUCCAGGGUUAGAGUCCCUGUACCCGCACCA